UUGGGUUCCUGGGUGUUUCCUGUCUGUGGUUGGGGUUGCUGUUUCCCUGUCCAUCCUUCAGGGGGCGCCUGGCAGUCAUUCCUGGAGGGCGUGGACCAGCUGAUAUUCAUCACCUGCACUGCAUGAUCUCAUUUGGAGGAGCAUAAGAGGAGGAGGCAGCCUACACACCAGUGCCAGAGUGUUUUGCCAGUUUUGGAACUCUCACUACAGAAGCUGUGAACCCCUUAGUGGAAAUCCAGCGCAGAACCUCUCCUUGUGACGCCAGUGGAUUAUUGCCCACCGGAUGCCCAAGUCCCUGAAUCCCACCUUGGUGAUCGGAUCUCCACGCUCGCUGCCUUCCUCUCUCCGGCCAUAACGAAACCCGCCCAGAUCUCGUCCGCCCUCCAGAGCUGCCCCACCCCCAUAAGCGAAGCAGCAACACUCGACCUCAAGUAAUCCGCCCAGGAUCCUUCAGACCUUCCCCCCCCCCCGGUCCGUAUCAUCUCAGCUGAACUCCAACCAGAAGCAUCGAAUCCUCUCCGGACCAGUUUUUUCCCCUUUUUCUCUGACUGUCAUUCUCUGCAAUAAAUAUAAUUUUACUGA